AACGAACGCUGGCGGCAUGCCUAACACAUGCAAGUCGAACGAAGGCUUCGGCCUUAGUGGCGCACGGGUGCGUAACGCGUGGGAAUCUGCCCUUUGGUUCGGAAUAACAGCUGGAAACGGCUGCUAAUACCGGAUGAUGACGAAAGUCCAAAGAUUUAUCGCCAGAGGAUGAGCCCGCGUUGGAUUAGGUAGUUGGUGGGGUAAAGGCCUACCAAGCCGACGAUCCAUAGCCGGUCUGAGAGGAUGAUCAGCCACACUGGGACUGAGACACGGCCCAGACUCCUACGGGAGGCAGCAGUGGGGAAUAUUGGACAAUGGGCGCAAGCCUGAUCCAGCAAUGCCGCGUGAGUGAUGAAGGCCCUAGGGUUGUAAAGCUCUUUUACCCGGGAAGAUAAUGUCUGUACCGGGAGAAUAAGCCCCGGCUAACUCCGUG
rnacentral:rRNA from 1 species